rnacentral:rRNA from 1 species
AUACAGAGGGUGCAAGCGUUAAUCGGAAUUACUGGGCGUAAAGAGCACGUAGGUGGAUUAGUAAGUCAGAUGUUAAAGCCCUGGGCUUAACCGAGGAAAGUCAUCUGAGACUGUUAAUCUAGAGUACGGGAGAGGGAAGUGGAAUUUCCGGAGUAGCGGUGAAAUGCGUAGAUAUCGGAAGGAACACCAGUGGCGAAGGCGGCUUCCUGGCCUGAUACUGACACUGAGGUGCGAAAGCGUGGGUAGCAAACAGGAUUAGAUACCCGUGUAGUCC